rnacentral:rRNA from 1 species
AGAACGCUGGCGGCGUGCUAAUCAUGCAAGUCGAGCGGACGGAACGGAGCUUGCUCCGGGAAGUUAGCGGCGGACGGGUGAGUAACACGUGGGCAAUCUGCCUGACAGACUGGGAUAACGCUUGGAAACGAGUGCUAAUACCAGAUAGGCUUCGAGGUCGCAUGACCUUGAAGGGAAAGAAGCUAUCGCUUCACUGUCGGAUGAGCCCGCGGCGCAUUAGCUAGUUGGUGAGGUAACGGCUCACCAAGGCGACGAUGCGUAGCCGACCUGAGAGGGUGACCGGCCACACUGGGACUGAGACACGGCCCAGACUCCUACGGGAGGCAGCAGUAGGGAAUCUUCCACAAUGGGCGCAAGCCUGAUGGAGCAACGCCGCGUGAAUGAUGAAGGCCUUCGGGUUGUAAAAUUCUGUCUUCUGUGAAGAACCAGCAUGAGAGUGGAAAGCUCAUGCCUUGACGGUAACAGAGGAGGAAGCCCCGGCUAACUACGUGCCAGCAGCCGCGGUAAUACGUAGGGGG